GACGAACGCUGGCGGCGUGCUUAACACAUGCAAGUCGAGCGGUAAGGCCCUUUCGGGGGUACACGAGCGGCGAACGGGUGGGUAACACGUGGGUGACCUGCCCUUAGCUCUGGGAUAAGCCUGGGAAACUGGGUCUAAUACCGGAUAUGACUCCAUGACGCAUGUUGUGGGGUGGAAAGCCUUGUGCGGCUAGGGAUGGGCCCGCGGCCUAUCAGCUUGUUGGUGGGGUGAUGGCCACCAAGGCGACGACGGUAGCCGGCCUGAGAGGGCGACCGGCCACACUGGGACUGAGACACGGCCCAGACUCCUACGGGAGGCAGCAGUGGGGAAUCUUGCGCAAUGGGCGAAAGCCUGACGCAGCGACGCCGCGUGGGGAUGACGGCCU
rnacentral:rRNA from 1 species